rnacentral:rRNA from 1 species
ACGGAGAGUUUGAUCCUGGCUCAGGAUGAACGCUAGCGGCAGGCCUAAUACAUGCAAGUCGAACGAGAUUCUUUUCUUCGGAGAAGAUGAAAGUGGCGCACGGGUGCGUAACGCGUAUGCAACCUACCCAUUACAGGGGGAUAGCCCGGGGAAACUCGGAUUAAUACCCCAUAGUAUCCAAUAUUGGCAUCGAUGAUGGAUUAAAGAUUUAUUGGUAAUGGAUGGGCAUGCGUCUGAUUAGCUAGUUGGUGAGGUAACAGCUCACCAAGGCGACGAUCAGUAGGGGGUCUGAGAGGAUGAUCCCCCACACUGGUACUGAGAUACGGACCAGACUCCUACGGGAGGCAGCAGUAGGGAAUAUUGGUCAAUGGGCGAGAGCCUGAACCAGCCAUGCCGCGUGCAGGAAGACAGCUUU